AGCGGAGGAACAUGUGGUUUAAUUCGAUGAUACGCGAGGAACCUUACCCGGGCUUGAAUUGCAGAGGAAGGAUUUGGAGACAAUGAACGCCCUUCGGGGUCUCUGUGAAGGUGCUGCAUGGUUGUCGUCAGCUCGUGCCGUGAGGUGUCGGCUUAAGUGCCAUAACGAGCGCAACCCCUCUCCUUAGUUGCCAUCAGGUUAAGCUGGGCACUCUGGGGACACUGCCACCGUAAGGUGUGA
rnacentral:rRNA from 1 species